rnacentral:lncRNA from 1 species
ACACAACAACCCACAAUUACACACUCUCCAUCUCUCUCUAACAGACUCAUAGGACCAAAUCCAUCGGUGACAGAAAUAAGAGAACCGUCAAGAUUUCAAUACCUCUAAACAUCGAUAAGCUUCAAAAUGCAUUAAUUUAAUAGAACAUACAUAAAUUAAGAAUAGAGCAUAAGAACCUUGUGUUUUCUAUAUUAUGUGUAAAGAAGCAAAAAUGGAGGGUUUGAGAGCCACCUAAUGUCAUCAGCUUCCUCUUACUGUUUACUGUGAUGGUGGUGGUGUGGGUUACAAGGGCAGUGGGUCGUAGAAAUGCUGAAGUGGGCUACGGUGGAGGUAGUGGUGAUAGAUUAAUGGUACUUUUGAUUUGUUGAUUUAGAUUUGUUGAUGAAGCUGGUGUGGGCUGUAAAUGAUUUUAUGGUGGUGUGAUUUGAUAAAGUAAUGUUCCUCGCCGGCGACUUGAGC